GACACACUGACAAGCUGCUGGAAGCCUUUUUUCCACACUCUUCAACUCAGCUUUUUACCUCCACUAGAGGGCCACAUUAUCAAGUAGGCGGUGCACUACUUGUGCACUGUGUUCAACCAUUCUGUCAAUAAUAACUGCUGCUGUGAAGAGAACAAUUCUCAGACUGAAUGUUGAACAUCAGCCAGUUUCUCCUCUGGAUUUAAACCUUGUUGUAGACAUGGAACAUUGGCUGUGGAUUAUUCUUGCUGCUCUUUUCUUUGAGUGUAAAGGCCAAGACACAGUGACCCAGCCAACAGGAGACGUCACUGCUGCUGAAGGAGACACAGUUACACUCAACUGUACAUUUGAGACAACUGACCCAAGUCCAUCUUUGUACUGGUACAAACAAGGAGUCAAUGAUUCUCCAAAGUACUUGGUGAAGUGUUUCUCAAAAACAGUUGACCAUUCUCCAGAGAUCCAGAAAGACAGAUUUCAUGCUGAAAUCAUUGAGAAGUCAGUUCCUCUGAAGAUCCAGAAGCUUCAGCUGUCUGACUCUGCUGUGUACUACUGUGCUCUGCAGCCCACAGUGACAGGAAACACCACAACUCUGUACAAAAACCUUUGGAGCAAAGACAACACAAUACUCCACAACAUCCACUAGAGGGAGUCACACACUGUUAAACUUCAAUGGUUUCUUCUCAUCCAGUCGACAGUAACUUCACUUUCAGACAGGAUUGUCAUGAAAAGCUUUAGAAACUAGUCACAGCACAAAACGGUAACCAUGGAAACAGCACUAGUCAAAACUGUGAAGGACUGAUGUAUAAACACAGACUUUAAUAAAUGAUCUGUUCUUGUUCUUGC